rnacentral:rRNA from 1 species
UACGAAGGGGGCUAGCGUUGCUCGGAAUCACUGGGCGUAAAGCGCACGUAGGCGGAUUGCUAAGUCAGGGGUGAAAUCCUGGAGCUCAACUCCAGAACUGCCUUGAUACUGGUGAUCUUGAGUCCGGGAGAGGUGAGUGGAACUGCGAGUGUAGAGGUGAAAUUCGUAGAUAUUCGCAAGAACACCAGUGGCGAAGGCGGCUCAC